AUGACUGCGGCUGCUGCAGCUUAUUGUGCGGGAUUUGUGGGUGAGCAUAGACCGGGUGCGAUCCGAAGAAGAUUGGUUUCGCAUGACGGCCGGUCGCAACCUAUCUGCAUAUCGGCGCGACAGAUGAACCCAGUUCACUUGCUGCAGCAGCUGGCUGGACGCCCCUAACGCAGACUGAUUCGUGCCGCUGAUUUUACGCGCACGCUCACACACACACACACACACACACACACACACACACACACACACACACACACACCCGCUCAAUCAACGGGAUUAAUAGGAUUAAUAUGGGUUUUGUGUAAACUUGGACUACGACUUUUUUUUUGUCUUUUCUUUGUUUUUUUGUUUGGUUUAAGAAUUUAAGGACUGUUAUUUCCUUAUUUUCCUUUAUUGUACUUUUUCCUUUUUUCGUUAUUUUCCUUCUAAACAAAAAGUGUCAAAACAAUGUGAAACAUUGUAAUUUUGUUUGUGUUUUUUUUAUUUUUGAAUAACAUCUUUUGACCUGAGAAAAAACUGAAUCUGGUUGUGAGUGUUAUUUAAAAGUAUGUGUUUUUGUGUGGCUGGUACAUUGUGUAUCUGGUGGGUUUUAGUUGGGCUCUAUCUUGAGUUAUCUGGGAACCUAAAAACGAAAAUAGUAUAGAUUGACUUGACAAAUUUUGGUCUUGUCUGGCGCCCGAAAAAAUAUUUAAUUUUAACUAACUGGGAAAAAAAAAAGAAAAAAACCUAGUUAGGUCUAACUGGAGGCCCGCCACCGCUACAUAAGUGGCGCCCAACGUGGGGCGUGAACCAUAUAUAUGUAUAAAACUUUGGCUUGAACCCUAGAAGUGUGAAAUUGUGAACUGCAGAGUUCUACUGCUUCAGCAUUGUUAACACUUUAAAGUUCUGUGGUUUAUGUACAUAUGUAUAUAAAGGUGUUUUUGAGAAGAAACAUUCAAGUAAUUUUGUGAAACCUGAGAACUGUGAAAAGUUUUUUUUUGAAAACUAAAGAGGUUUGUUAAAUUGAUACCUCCUGGUGUUAAUUUUGAAAUCUUGUGGGGUGAGAUUGUUAUAAUGAAACAAACCAAGUGGGGGUAAUUCAUUGUAUGUAACUUUAUUUUUUAUUUAUACAUUUGAGUGACAUUGCACCACACUUUACAUAUUA
rnacentral:lncRNA from 1 species